AAGAGCUGUAAUUUACUCUUUUUAAGUUGUCCAAUAAUUUAAAACAAACACACUUAAAAGACACAUAUAAUAUAAUUUAACCAAUCUUCUGAAAAAUAUACGUGUAAUUGUAUUGAAUCAAAUUGAAUACGUAGUAUAUAAAAUGUAUCAAUAUAAUAUUGUUAUGCUAAUGCUUAUGCUUAAUUUAACAGUUACUUUUAAAAGUUUAUUUUAAUACUUGUUAUUAUUUUUACCAAACAAAGUUGUUGCGCUGAAAUUUUGUUCAACUGAGGACCAUCUUGUUUUAAUUUGUUUAAAUGUCAAUAACUAAGUUAGUAUUUGUGUUCAAUUAAUUUUCUAUGCUCACCAUUUGUCUAUGGCUACAUACUCAUAUGUUAUUGUAUAUGUUUUCCUUACAAAGAUAACACAUUUGAAUUAUGCAUCAUUUGGUUCCAUUUUUCAUAAACAAACAUUAUUCAUUUGUAAAUGUAUUUUCUUUUUAUCUUGUUUUACAUCAAAUGGACCUUUAUUGGGCGAGAUGCAUGUAAUAAUAUACUGAUUAAAUUUCCAUAACCGACAGAACUUCCUCACAUUUGGUCUGGAUUACCAGAAACGCUGUUAGGACACCAUAUUCCACUUUAGUAAUCACUUGAUCGUAAAUUGGAGACAGCGAGUCAGUUGCAAAAUGUAUAUCGUUCUUAAUGCAAGUGUUGAAAACGUGCUUCACAAUAAUCCAGCUAAAUAGCCAUUUGGAAUACCAAAGAUUUUGUCACGCGUUUUAAAGUGCCUGUGGCAUGGAAAACAUGUAUUGUAGAAUACAACAGGAGCCAUAUGAAAUCCAUUUUGUUGAAAGAAUACUUCUCCAAAUAUAAGAAAUGUUUGGUUUACAACUAGAUACAAAAUUCGUUCUUAAAAAUGCUUAUAUACAAAAGCUAGUACUGCUGUGUAAUGUUAUGUUCUUAUUUUUCACAUUUUGAAAUGCAAUUGAUUACCUAUAACACAUGGAAUAACAUACGACAAUAACGUUUGGUACUAGUAUGAGAAAUUUUGAUUUAUAAAAAUGUGCCGUUAAUGAUAAUCUAUGUAUGCUACGUUCUACUGUACAUAAAAAGAAGAUAACAAAAUGUCAAUCCUUCAUUUGAAUUAAGUUGUUAUAUAUACAUGACUGUGAAAACUAUUUUCCCUUGUUUAAUGAGGACAAAUAUUUAUGUCUAUCGAGGACUUUUUGUCUAACUUUGUUUAACUAAGACGAAAUUUCCUGCCUUUUUGUAAUUCGGUUUGUUUUAAAGCUUAUUUUCUACUUAUUCUCAGGUUAAUUUCAACAUUUAAGGUCUGAGCAUUUAUGAAGACAAUUAGAUAGCAGAGGAGACUUAAUAAUUUUGGGUUACAUUUAUUGACGUAGGUUUGAAAUUAAAAAAGAAAUAAGUCCGCGUAAAAUGAAUUUAAGAAUAUGAACAGUCUGAUCCAUACAAAAGGUAGCCAGGUAAAACUAUACUAUUCAAUCUACCUAUAGCUUGGAAUGUAGCGACUGGUAUUGAAAUGGUUUUGACGUAACGAUUUAAUUCUAAACAAGUUAAGUUCUUAGAACUUGAUUUAAAAAAAAAACAAACUAGUUUCCUGUGUCCAAGUCUGUAGUAACGUUUUACAUUUCAUUAACCGUAGUUUAUGUAGUACUGGUCAAUCAUUAAAAUAUUAGAUAAGUCGUCUCGAUUCAACAUAGAUAACUCAAAAUCUUUACUUAAUUCUUUCAUAUAUACACAAAUGUGGAUUGGGCGUUGGACCGGUUGAAACCUUUUAGCAAUUUUGAUAUCAAAUCCUACUUUAAACGGCAAUACAGUUUAUACACCUUGCAAAUUUAAAUAUGAUUCUAGAAACUUAUUGUUCCUAUGAAUAAAGCAAUCAAUUCAUCAUUGUAUCGAGGAUUUGAAUGUUGUCUUUAUUUAUACAAACAUUGAUUUUAUCUUAAUAGUAUUAAAAAUCAUUGAAAAUAGAUUGGUAUCCUGGGUCCUAUAUCCAGCAGAUACAUAUAUUGUGGCAUGGCACAAUAUCAUGUUUUUCUCAGAGUGCUUAUGAAGUCUGAAGUCUUAACACGGUUUGUUAGGAGUAUACUAUUUCAUGUUUGUCUUCGAGAACAUGGUUUAUUUAUUAGUUGGAAUAGAGUUUUGAAUUAGCUUUCAUUAACUACGAGAACUUUCAAAUCGGUAGUAUGUGUCCGUUGUCCUUUGUCGUUUUGCUAUUUGUUUUUUGUGGGUAGUUAGUUACGGUAUGACAAGAUAAGCGCUUUGCAAUUGUUUUUUUAUUAUUAUUAUGUUGUGUCGUUACAUUACUAUUCAUAGUUAAGAAUAUUGAGCUCUAAGAAAGAAGUUAAACCCCACCAUAUUGUUCAUGUGCCUUUCCGAAGAGAGGAACCAGUAACCCAAUAGUUGUCGUUGUUUGCUGUCUGCCAUAUUUGUUUUUCGUGCAUUGCUGUAGUAUAAUUGAAAUCAUUAGUUUUCUCCCAUUUUAUCCUCCAUGGCCUUGUAUAUCUAACUAUACGGUAUUGGUGUUGUUAUUGUUAAUUGUUGAAAGCCGUCGCUGAACUCUAAUUGUUGCAGAUUUGACACCCGGGCCUACGGUCAUAAAACUUAACUCUGUACUCGGGAGUACGAAAUUUGUGCUCGAAACACCAAAUCCCGUAUUUUGAUUGGUUAAAUUCUGAAUCUGAGUAUAAUCGCAAAACUUGGUAUUUGAGGAAAGAUUGAAAACGAUACCACAUCUCCUUGAAUAAAUACUUGUGUUUGUCGUUA